AGAGUUUGAUCCUGGCUCAGAACGAACGCUGGCGGCGUGGAUAAGACAUGCAAGUCGAGCGAUCGUUAACGGGUAGCAAUAUUCGUUAGCGGGAGCGGCGCAAGGGUGCGUAACACGUGGGUAAUCUGCCGUGAAGUUUGGGAUAAUCCCGCGAAAGCGGGACUAAUACCGGAUGUGACCAUUGGGAGGCAUCUUCUGAUGGUUAAAGUUGGGGACCGUAAGGCCUGACGCUUCAUGAUGAACCCGCGGCCUAUCAGCUAGUUGGUGAGGUAACGGCUCACCAAGGCUAAGACGGGUAGCUGGUCUGAGAGGACGACCAGCCACACUGGAACUGAGACACGGUCCAGACACCUACGGGUGGCAGCAGUCGAGAAUUUUUCACAAUGGGCGCAAGCCUGAUGGAGCGACGCCGCGUGGGGGAUGAAUGGCUUCGGCCCGUAAACCCCUGUCAUUUGCGAUCAAACCUUAUUAUUUAAAAGAUGAUGAGUUGAUAGUAGCGAAAGAGGAAGGGACGGCUAACUCUGUGCCAGCAGCCGCGGUA
rnacentral:rRNA from 1 species